UACGUAGGGGGCAAGCGUUGUCCGGAUUUAUUGGGCGUAAAGAGCGUGUAGGCGGUUUGGUAGGUCCGUUGUGAAAACUCGAGGCUCAACCUCGAGACGCCGAUGGAAACCAUCAGACUAGAGUCCGGAAGAGGAGAGUGGAAUUCUCGGUGUAGCGGUGAAAUGCGUAGAUAUCGAGAGGAACACCUGCGGCGAAGGCGGGUUGCUGGGCUGAUACUGACGCUGAUGCGCGAAAGCCAGGGGAGCGAACGGG
rnacentral:rRNA from 1 species